UACGUAGGGCGCAAGCGUUGUCCGGAAUUAUUGGGCGUAAAGAGCUCGUAGGUGGUGUGUCGCGUCUGCCGUGAAAGCCCGGGGCUUAACUCCGGGUCUGCGGUGGAUACGGGCAGACUAGAGGCAGGUAGGGGAGAACGGAAUUCCCGGUGUAGCGGUGAAAUGCUUAGAUAUGACAUAGAACACUCAUUGCGAAGGCAGCUAACUACGCGAUCAUUGACGCUGAUGCACGAAAGCGUGGGGAUCAAACAGG
rnacentral:rRNA from 1 species